rnacentral:rRNA from 1 species
GGUUAAGCGACUAAGCGUACACGGUGGAUGCCCUGGCAGUCAGAGGCGAUGAAGGGCGUGCUAAUCUGCGAUAAGCGCCGGUAAGGUGAUAUGAACCGUUAUAACCGGCGAUACCCGAAUGGGGAAACCCAGUGUGACUCGUCACACUAUCAUUAACUGAAUCCAUAGGUUAAUGAGGCGAACCGGGGGAACUGAAACAUCUAAGUACCCCGAGGAAAAGAAAUCAACCGAGAUUCCCCCAGUAGCGGCGAGCGAACGGGGAGGAGCCCAGAGCCUGAAUCAGCAUGUGUGUUAGUGGAAGCGUCUGGAAAGGCGCGCGAUACAGGGUGACAGCCCCGUACACAAAAGCGCAUGUGCUGUGAGCUCGAUGAGUAGGGCGGGACACGUGGUAUCCUGUCUGAAUAUGGGGGGACCAUCCUCCAAGGCUAAAUACUCCUGACUGACCGAUAGUGAACCAGUACCGUGAGGGAAAGGCGAAAAGAACCCCGGCGAGGGGAGUGAAAAAGAACCUGAAACCGUGUACGUACAAGCAGUGGGAGCACAGGUUUACCU